AUUGAACGCUGGCGGCAGGCUUAACACAUGCAAGUCGAGCGGAUGAAGGUAGCUUGCUACUGGAUUCAGCGGCGGACGGGUGAGUAAUGCUUAGGAAUCUGCCUAUUAGUGGGGGACAACGUUCCGAAAGGAGCGCUAAUACCGCAUACGUCCUACGGGAGAAAGCAGGGGACCUUUGGGCCUUGCGCUAAUAGAUGAGCCUAAGUCGGAUUAGCUAGUUGGUAGGGUAAAGGCCUACCAAGGCGACGAUCUGUAGCGGGUCUGAGAGGAUGAUCCGCCACACUGGGACUGAGACACGGCCCAGACUCCUACGGGAGGCAGCAGUGGGGAAUAUUGGACAAUGGGGGGAACCCUGAUCCAGCCAUGCCGCGUGUGUGAAGAAGGCCUUUUGGUUGUAAAGCACUUUAAGCGAGGAGGAGGCUACCUAGAUUAAUACUUUAGGAUAGUGGACGUUACUCGCAGAAUAAGCACCGGCUAACUCUGUGCCAGCCGCCGCCGUAACAC
rnacentral:rRNA from 1 species